rnacentral:misc_RNA from 1 species
GGAGGGAUCAUUAACACGUAUCCAAACGUUCCAACAAAACAAAACAAACCCCCCACCGGUUCUCCUGUUCCCCUCUUUAUGGUUCCUCCCAGCCAAAGGUGAAGGCUUAUCUUGAGCAGCGUCUGGUUACCCAACCGGUUGUAAGGGAUAGGUUGCUUCGGGACGGAUAGUCAUUGCUCAAACUACUAGGGCUGCCACAUAAGAGGAGUAUCAAAGUUCACCUGGUUACUUGUGCCACCUCAGCAUGUUCACACUUCGCUUCGGUCUUAAUGGAUGUCGAGUUGUGUGGGCUAACCUGAAGCCUUGUUUCCUUAGUAAACCCCAUUUAAACCCCUUUUUUAUAUAACUACUGAACUUAUACCAAUUAAUUGAGAUUGUAAGCUUUUGUAAUGGAGCAAGCAGUUUUGAUGGUAUAUUUACGAAACUACGCACAACUCUUAGCAACGGAUAUCUUGGUUCUCGUACCGAUGAAGAACGCAGCGAAAUGCGAUACGUAAUGCGAAUUGCAGAAUUCAGUGAAUCAUCAAAUCUUUGAACGCAAAUUGCGCUCUCGGGAUAGCCCUGGGAGCAUGCCUCUCUGAGUAUCGGUUCCACCUCAUCUUGGCAGCGUCAUAUAUAUGUUUUUUACGAAAUAUAUAUGUGAUGUGUUGGCCAGAAAAUGAGUUCGUCUGCAUCUGAAUCUUUCAGCAGACUUACUUGAAAUAUAUCAAAGCUUCAGGAACUCCCCUAGUAGACUCUAGUGUGAUAUUCAUUUAUCUUUAAAUCUAGUAGAUAGCUAUCAUAUAACACUUGCGAGUGCACUGAUUGGCUUGUUUUACUGGUGACGCGGAUAGCAAUGUAAGCCCUCGGGUGAACAUUUCAAAACGUCAAUGCCAGAUUAAAAACAAGUAUCCGUCAGGGUAUCCUCACCGAUUCAGGAAGGUGUAAUGACUGUGAAUGACUAGUCGAGCGUCCGGUUGUCUUAAUGGAAAAUAUGUGGUAACACAUAUACACUUUGAAAUAGAUCUCAGAUGAAGCAAGAAGACCCCCUGAAUUUAAGCAUAUUAUUAAGGGGAGGAAAAGAAACUAACAAGGAUUCCCCUAGUAACGGCGAGUGAAGCGGGAAGAGCUCAAAUUGAAAAUCGGGAAUCCAUGCGGGUUCUCGAAUUGUAGCCUAGAGACGUACUGUCAGCGCGUGACCCAGGUAUAAAUCUUUUGAAACAAGGUAUCAUAGAGGGUGAGAAUCCCGUCUUUGACCUGGAGAUCGCCGCGUACGACGUACGUUCGUCGAGUCGAGUUGUUUGGGAUUGCAGCUCUAAAUGGGUGGUAAAUUUCAUCUAAAGCUAAAUAUCGACGAGAGACCGAUAGCGAACAAGUACCGUGAGGGAAAGAUGAAAAGAACUUUGAAAGAGAGUUAAAAAGUACUUGAAAUUGUUAAGAGGGAAGCGCUGGAAACCAGUCAUUAUCUGUGAUUAUACUUACUAUCUGCUCUCGAAGAGUGUUGCGGACUAGAGUGUUAAAGCCUAGUCGGGCAUUGGACGAAGGGUGGGUGGGUCCUGUAGUCAUGGGUGGGUCAGAAUCAAUUCGAUUCGCGGGUGAAGUGUGUAAGAAAGGUAGGGUCCCAGGACCUGUUAUAGUCUUAUAUCUCCUACCGUGGGAUGGAUUGAGGAUGUAUAAUGUGCGCCGCAAGGUUUCGGUACUUUGCUCCUGUUGGGUUAGUUGCUUUGGAGAACAAUGUUCUGCGGGUAACGAAGCUUGACACUGAGUAGGGCUACCAGAUGCACAUUCGCGAUUCUGACGAAAUGGUUUUCAUCGACCCGUCUUGAAACACGGACCAAGGAGUCUAACAUGUAUGCGAGUAUUUGGGUGGAAACCCUGAUGCGUAAUGAAAGUGAAGGUAGCUUCGGCUGCUGAGGUAGGAAUCCCAGUAAUGGGAGGCACUAUCGACCGAUCGUCACUUGUGAUAGAUUUGAGUAAGAGCAUAUCUGUUGGGACCCGAAAGAUGGUGAUCUAUGCCUGAACAGGGUGAAGCCAGGGGAAACUCUGGUGGAGGCUCGUAGCGAUACUGACGUGCAAAUCGUUCGUCUGAUUUGGGUAUAGGGGCGAAAGACUAAUCGAACCAUCUAGUAGCUGGUUCCCUC